rnacentral:rRNA from 1 species
GACGAACGCUGGCGGCGUGCUUAACACAUACAAGUCGAACGGUGAUGCUCCAGCUUGCUGGAGUGGAUCAGUGGCGAACGGGUGAGUAACACGUGAGCAACCUGCCCCAGACUCUGGAAUAAGCGCUGGAAACGGCGUCUAAUACUGGAUACGAAACUGGCCCGCAUGGGCAUGGUUUGGAAAGUUUUUCGGUUUGGGAUGGGCUCGCGGCCUAUCAGCUUGUUGGUGAGGUAAUGGCUCACCAAGGCGACGACGGGUAGCCGGCCUGAGAGGGCGACCGGCCACACUGGGACUGAGACACGGCCCAGACUCCUACGGGAGGCAGCAGUGGGGAAUAUUGCACAAUGGGCGAAAGCCUGAUGCAGCGACGCCGCGUGAGGGAUGACGGCCUUCGGGUUGUAAACCUCUUUCAGAAGGGAAGAAGCGAAAGUGACGGUACCUGCAGAAGAAGCACCGGCUAACUACGUG